rnacentral:tRNA from 1 species
GCUCCCAUCGUCUAGUGGCCCAGGACAGAUGGUUCUCAUCCAUCAAACGCCGGUUCGACUCCGGCUGGGAGCGCAA